rnacentral:rRNA from 1 species
GACGAACGCUGGCGGCGUGCUUAACACAUGCAAGUCGAACGGAAAGGCCCUGCUUUUGUGGGGUGCUCGAGUGGCGAACGGGUGAGUAACACGUGAGUAACCUGCCCUUGACUUUGGGAUAACUUCAGGAAACUGGGGCUAAUACCGGAUAGGAGCUCCUGCCGCAUGGUGGGGGUUGGAAAGUUUCGGCGGUUGGGGAUGGACUCGCGGCUUAUCAGCUUGUUGGUGGGGUAGUGGCUUACCAAGGCUUUGACGGGUAGCCGGCCUGAGAGGGUGACCGGCCACAUUGGGACUGAGAUACGGCCCAGACUCCUACGGGAGGCAGCAGUGGGGAAUAUUGCACAAUGGGCGGAAGCCUGAUGCAGCAACGCCGCGUGCGGGAUGACGGCCUUCGGGUUGUAAACCGCUUUCGCCUGUGACGAAGCGUGAGUGACGGUAAUGGGUAAAGAAGCACCGGCUAACUACGUGCCAGCAGCCGCGGUGAUACGUAGGGUGCGGGCGUUGUCCGGAUUUAUUGGGCGUAAAGGGCUCGUAGGUGGUUGAUCGCGUCGGAAGUGUAAUCUUGGGGCUUAACCCUGAGCGUGCUUUCGAUACGGGUUGACUUGAGGAAAGGUAGGGGAGAAUGGAAUUCCUGGUGGAGCGGUGGAAUGCGCAGAUAUCAGGAGGAACACCAGUGGCGAAGGCGGUUCUCUGGGCCUUUCCUGACGCUGAGGAGCGAAAGCGUGGGGAGCGAACAGGCUUAGAUACCCUGGUAGUCCACGCUGUAAACGGUGGGUACUAGGUGUGGGGUCCAUUCCACGGGUUCCGUGCCGUAGCUAACGCUUUAAGUACCCCGCCUGGGGAGUACGGCCGCAAGGCUAAAACUCAAAGGAACUGACGGGGCCCCGCACAAGCGGCGGAGCAUGCGGAUUAAUUCGAUGCAACGCGUAGAACCUUACCUGGGUUUGACAUGGAUCGGGAGCGCUCAGAGAUGGGUGUGCCUCUUUUGGGGUCGGUUCACAGGUGGUGCAUGGCUGUCGUCAGCUCGUGUCGUGAGAUGUUGGGUUAAGUCCCGCAACGAGCGCAACCCUUGUUCACUGUUGCCAGCACGUUAUGGUGGGGACUCAGUGGAGACCGCCGGGGUCAACUCGGAGGAAGGUGGGGAUGACGUCAAGUCAUCAUGCCCCUUAUGUCCAGGGCUUCACGCAUGCUACAAUGGCUGGUACAGAGAGUGGCGAGCCUGUGAGGGUGAGCGAAUCUCGGAAAGCCGGUCUCAGUUCGGAUUGGGGUCUGCAACUCGACCUCAUGAAGUCGGAGUCGCUAGUAAUCGCAGAUCAGCAACGCUGCGGUGAAUACGUUCCCGGGGCU